rnacentral:ncRNA from 1 species
AUUUUAACGGCAGUUUUAUCAGUUAAAGGCAUGACUGUCUGUACUGAGCCUUUACCAAAGGUUUUAGUCCCUAAAAUAACCGCACGGUGAUGAUCUUGUAAUGCACCAGCUACAAUUUCUGAUGCAGAAGCAGAGCCACCAUUAACUAAAACUACUAGAGGCGCGCCCUCUAGAAGGUCUCGAGGAUUUGCGUUAAAUUCUUGCUUGGAGUCAGGAAUUCUUCCAUCAGUGUAAACUAUCAUACCCUUUGUUAUGAAAGCAUCUGAGACAUCUACAGCUGCAUUUAAUAAUCCGCCAGGAUUAUUACGUAA